rnacentral:rRNA from 1 species
GACGAGAAGACCCUAUAGAGUUUGACAUUUGGUUUAUUUAUUUGUUGGUUGUUUGUUUAUUUUGUUGGUGAGUAGGCUUUUUGUUUUGUUGGGGUGAUGAGAGGAAUGUAGUUAACUCUUCUUUAUUUUGAUUAUAUUUAUUUAUAGUUAUUUGAUCCAUUUAUUUUGAUUAUAAGACUAAAUUACCUUAGGGAUAACAGCGUUAUCUUCCUUGAGAGUUCUUAUCGGCAGGGGGGUUUGCGACCUCGAUGUUGGAUUAAGGUGAAUUUUUGGUGUAGGGGCUGAAAGUUGUAUUGGGUCUGUUCGACCCUUGGAAUCUUACAUGAUCUGAGUUCAAACCGGCGUGAGCCAGGUUGGUUUCUAUCUAUAAGUGUGGUUUUAUACCUUAGUACGAGAGGACCAGGUAU